rnacentral:rRNA from 1 species
GUGGGGAAUAUUGCGCAAUGGGCGAAAGCCUGACGCAGCAACGCCGCGUGGGUGAUGAAGGCCUUCGGGUUGUAAAGCCCUGUCGGAAAAGACGAAACCUCACUUGGAGUAAUACCCAAGUGAGUUGACGGUAUUUUUAGAGGAAGCACCGGCUAACUCCGUGCCAGCAGCCGCGGUAAAACGGAGGGUGCUAGCGUUGUUCGGAAUUACUGGGCGUAAAGCGCGUGUAGGCGGAUUGAGAAGUCGAGUGUGAAAUCCCCCGGCUUAACCGGGGAAGUGCGCUCGAAACCAUCAAUCUUGAGUUUUGGAGGGGAGCAGGGAAUUCCCAGUGUAGAAGUGAAAUUCGUAGAUAUUGGGAGGAACACCAGUGGCGAAGGCGCUGCUCUGGCCAAACACUGACGCUGAGACGCGAAAGCGUGGGUAGCAAACAGGAUUAGAAACCCUGGUAGUCC